GCAAUCCUUAAUUUCUUGGCUAGAGGUGAAGACUAUAUACCUUUUCAGGGCUUGGUAAACCUUGGGUCCUGAGGAGAGGUAGUAACAUGAUCAAUUAUGAAUGAAGAAGCAUCUCCAAGGUAUAAGAAGGUUGAGUCACAAGACUAGAUGGGAGAUCCUUGGAAAUUGUGGACAAGAAACUGUAACUGACAGUCAGGACGGAAGAUGAAUGUGAAAUUUGUUAGACACGGAAUGCAGUUGCAAUUCCUAGGGAUGAUACCCCUCCAGCAAAAAAUCACAGCCUCACUAUGAGAAGUGAACUGAGGUAAUGCACAUAAAGAGUGGUGCAUAGUGCAAAGCCUGACUGGAAUACACAUCAGGAGCUUAAUCAACAUAACCAAAAAGAGGAAGAUUGGGUAAGCAAAGGGAGUCUGGUCCAACUCUGUUCAGAACCAGAGAAGGGAAUGUGUCCUUUAAACACACCCACGCAUGCAAAACAUGCGCAGACAAGUCAUCAUCAGUCAUACAGUCUGCUGGCCAUCCCUAAAGAGGUUCACCCUUUCACUGGACCACUACAGAGAAAUGUUCUUGUUGGGACAUUCUCCAUUCAGUUUCUUUCCUUGGGCCAGGUGCAGGGUAGAGGCAUGAAGAAAUUCCCAUCCUUAACACGUUGGCCUUGAACUUGACAUUUGAACAAGGCAAUUUAUACAAAAACAGCAUAUUCCACUUUAACAUAAAGUAUUUUUUGUAAUAACAAUGCAAGUCCUGGAACCAUUGUGGGAAACCUCACAUCUACAAAUCCUUAUGCCACCAGCUCACUCAAUUUAAUUUAGAAGUUAUUAUUUUACCUUGUGACUUACGACUUUAAAUUCUUUAUUGGGGCAGGAACUUAGGAGUCUCAAAUCUGAUUCCCAAUAUAGUGAAUGUUUUACAUUAUAUAAUCUUUCUCUUUAGAUCAUCUUCUCCCAAAUAAAAGGUCACUUACCGAUCAAAACCCAGGAAUCACAUUUUUUUAAACGAGAGAAUGACUAAGGGGAUCAUUCCUAUUAAUGUAGCUCUAAUCUUAUGGGAGAGAAAUUCUUUACUGGCAGUGAUUGAGCUGGCAUCUGCAUUAAUUUCAAACAUAGGGCAGUAUACAUUGGAUUUUUAAAAGGGCACACUAUUCAAGAUAUGUCAUAAGUCAACAACAGUAAUAACAUACAAGUUACAUGUAAGUACAGGACGGCGCUGUCAGACCCCAGACUGUUGUCCACCUGCACGGUCACUCGGAAAAUGCCCACAUUCUGAUAGACAUGCUUGAUUCCGUCUUCCAUGGAGCUGAGGUUGACAUAAGACACUGCAAUGCCAUCCCCAAAGUCCACCUGGAUGAGUGUCCGCUGCACAUCACCCUGCAAAAAAAAAAAAAAAAAUGGGCAGUGCUAAAUGGAGAAGAGUUAGUGCUUGCCUGUUCUUGCCUUGGAUGCUGAGGCUCACUUGCCUUCCUCCUGUGGUUGAGAGCAUCUGCCUGCUAUAAUAGCAUCUCUGUAACAAUGAAAUAGUAUGCUUACAAUACUCUCCAAGGCAAAGGGGCACCAACAAUCAAAUUCUCAAGGCUUAAAAAUAAUAGUUGUUUCAUUACCAAUUUCAGUUAACCAAAAUAUUGUUAGUUGGAAGGUUUUAUUAAUGGUCUUAUCUGGUAUGGUUAAAGAUCACUUUCUAGGUCUUCAAGGACCAUGAAAUAUCUUCUCUAUUUCUAGUUCCUUUGCUAAGUUGGGGAACGAAUGAAAAAUAACUUUCCUGACACCUGAUAAGACAUGACACUUAGAAUUACUUGUCAUAAUGAUAAUUAUUCCUUUUUGCUUGCUUGCUUGUUUUUAUUGAAAAUACACUCUUAUCUUGAGGCAUUGCUCUAUCAAAGCAUUUCUGUAGAACAUUAGCCUGGAGAGGAGAGUAGACAAUGUUCAUCAUCCUAAUAGAUGAACGUGAAGUCUCGAAAGGCCUCAUUGUAUACUGAAGGUUACCUCAGCCAGGAAGCUAUAGUUGUGAGAUCACAAACCAUUGUCUCAGGAUUUCCUAAUCAUUUUUGUAGAUGAGAGUUAGCCCUGUGGCUAAAGCAGGUCUCACUCAGCCUUGAAUCAUAGUCACCAUUAACAAGUUAUAUGACUUCAUACAAAUCAUUCAGCUUUUCUCUGUGUUAGUUAGUUUUCUCUGUGUUAGUUAGUUAGUUAGUUAGUUAGUAACUCUCUGUGUUAGGCUACAAAAUGAGCCUAACAACACUUUUGUAUCUUAACUCAAUGGGUUGCUAUAAAAGCCACAUAAAUAGUGGUGUAUAAAGUGCUAUGCAAAUAAAUAACUGCUGACUUAAUAUGAAAAUGAGGCUGUAAAAGGCAUACAACAUCCCUCAAAAUCUUACUUUGAUCUAUUGUUCUAAGUUUCUCCUGUAUCAUCAGGAGAUGAUGUCUGCAUUUACAAAGUCCUAUGAAAAGAAAGGGCCUUUGGAAUGACAGUUUAGAAUUUCUAGGAACAAUGUCGUUUAGAUUCAACUGGCAAGAUCAAGCUUCCUUCCUUAAACACCUUCUUUUUUUUUGAUAGCCUUCAACAGUUUCAGGAAAACAACAAAACUGAAACCUUUGAACUAGAAAUGUAUUUUCAAUUAAGUAAGGUUUAUGUGGUAUCAUAUCUUUUGAAAAGGCCAACAUUAAAACGCUGACAUUUAAAGGAUUAAUACACAGAAAAAGGUAAAGCAGUUCAAACCCUAUGAGUAUAUGUGACCUACAGCUUCAGUCUUCUCCCAGUAGUGCAGGGUGUCAUGCACAGUGGCCAAUGUUCAGGCAGAGGGAGCGGAGCUUUGAGUAACAUCACAGAUUGAAAUCUUUCUCUGGGAGAAACAAAACAAAACAAAACAAAAAAACAAAAAACACAAAACAAAACAAGAACAAA